AAGUCGUAACAAGGUUUCCGUAGGUGAACCUGCGCUCUUGUAACCCGCGUAGUUCGCAAUCUCUGGUAAAUCAUAGCCCGGAAAGUAGUUUUGAUUCAGAGACCUCUGGCUACGUGAGAACAUUGGAACAGUUACAAUCGAGCGGUAGUUUCAUAGGCAUUGUUUCCCCAAGCAGUCAGUGUCUAAAAGUGUCACUGAUUGUGCAAGGAUAGCGCUUCAACGAUUCCUGUAGACCGUACACUCGGGCAGGAGCUAUGCCAAAGGGUCCCCAUGCCCCCUUAUAACCCCACAGUUUAAUGUGAAGCUCAAUGUAAUACAUUGGGUAAAAAAACCGAGCUACUGUUAACAAUGGAUAUCUUGGUUCUC
rnacentral:misc_RNA from 1 species